UGCAACAGAGGACUGCCUGUCGUGGA
rnacentral:piRNA from 1 species